AAACCUACAUUUAAUAAUCAAAUUACGAAGCAGUUUUCAAGCACCUGAGUCUGGGGAAACCAAUAUAAAAAAAUGCGAUUGCAGCACUGAAUCAGUAUUAUUUGGUGUUGAGUGUUUAGGUUAACGGAGCAAGUUGUUGAAAAUGAAAUUCAUCGCCCUUUUGGUUUUUCUGGUUGUGUUAACCACCGCUUAUGGGUACUAUCUGAGCCCAAAUAUACGUAGUACCUCUGGCAGUGGAGACCAUACUGAAGUUUACAAAGGUUUAGCUGAAUUCUUCUCUAAACUGAGCAACGAUGCCGCUAAUGUUGCAGCCCUUUCUUCUUCUGGUCGACGUUAAACAUUCUGCAAAUUGUAAUUGUUCUAAGUAUAACACUAAAUAAAGCUUUCAUCAAUAAUUA